UACGUAGGGUGCGAGCGUUAAUCGGAAUUACUGGGCGUAAAGCGUGCGUAGGCGGUUUGGUAAGGCGGGUGUGAAAUCCCCGGGCUUAACCUGGGAAUUGCGUUUGUGACUGUCUGGCUAGAGUACGGCAGAGGGGGGUGGAAUUCCGCGUGUAGCAGUGAAAUGCGUAGAGAUGCGGAGGAACACCAAUGGCGAAGGCAGCCCCCUGGGUCGAUACUGACGCUCAUGCACGAAAGCGUGGGUAGCAAACAGG
rnacentral:rRNA from 1 species